GUGCUGAGCUAGCGGCUGGAACGAUGCUUGUGUCGCGGCGUGUUGACGAAGCCCUGACGAGAAAGCGACGGCAUCGUAAAAGGUGAAAGAAAAUGUUUU
rnacentral:lncRNA from 1 species